rnacentral:misc_RNA from 1 species
CUCCAAUGGUGGGGGAAUUACAGAUUGUGGAGCCAUAUAGUUGUUCUCUGAGCCCCUAUUGGAUGAUUGCGGCCUGGUAUUUCCUCUGUUAGUUGGCCUCUUAGAAUCCAAAGCUUGAGUUGACCAUGCAUUUGCAGACAUCCUUCCUGAUCCACCAUUAUUUCGCAUGCCUUGCUCAUGUCUCACAUCGGGGUGCCCCCCUGCUUUAGGAUUAGAAUUCUGAAAACCCCAGGGUUUUGCAGCACUGCUUCCAGCUCUGUUCUUAGGCUUCCGUGACAUAACCUCCCAUGCCCCAUCAUCCAAACUAAUGUCUACCACACCUUGACCCAACUGCUCAGCCUUAGGGCUAGAGACUUCUGAUGCAUUUUUCCCCCUGGAUGAUGCAUUAUUACUACCACCAGCAGUUGAAGCCCUUCCACCCCCACCUCUUGAACUCAUUUUUGCAACUAAUGUAUGCUGAAAACUAUGGACUUCACGUUCACUGUGAAAUCCGCCGUAGAUGAA